rnacentral:rRNA from 1 species
GUCUAUGGCUGUGCCACCCUGAACACACCCGAUCCCAUCUGAUCUCGUAAGCUAAGCAGGGUCGGGCAUGGUUAGUACUUGAAUGAGAGACCGCGUAGGAAGACCAGAUGCUGUAGGUG